AAGUAAAAAUCGAAGCCUGCUAUUUAAGAAAGUGAGGAGAUGAGCUUCUGGGAAAGAACAAAGCUUUAUUUACAUCUUUCCUUAUAAUCAUAACAUAACUGUAGGAAACAAAUUUUGAAGAUGAUGAAGAAGAAAGAUGUCACCCAAUAUCUUGUGGUGA